UGUAGUCAUAUGCUUGUCUCAAAGAUUAAGCCAUGCAUGUCUAAGUAUAAGCAAUUAUACAGCGAAACUGCGAAUGGCUCAUUAAAUCAGUUAUCGUUUAUUUGAUAGUACCUUACUACAUGGAUAACCGUGGUAAUUCUAGAGCUAAUACAUGCUAAAAACCCCAACUUCGGAAGGGGUGUAUUUAUUAGAUUAAAAACCAAUGCCCUUCGGGGCUCCCUGGUGAUUCAUAAUAACUUCUCGAAUCGCACGGCCUUGCGCCGGCGAUGGUUCAUUCAAAUUUCUGCCCUAUCAACUUUCGACGGCAGGGUCUUGGCCUGCCAUGGUGACAACGGGUAACGGAGGGUUAGGGCUCGACCCCGGAGAAGGAGCCUGAGAAACGGCUACUACAUCCAAGGAAGGCAGCAGGCGCGCAAAUUACCCAAUCCCGACACGGGGAGGUAGUGACAAUAAAUACUGAUACAGGGCCCUUCUGGGUCUUGUAAUUGGAAUGAGUACAAUUUAAAUCCAUUAACGAGGAACAAUUGGAGGGCAAGUCUGGU
rnacentral:rRNA from 1 species